UACGGGAUAAUAUAUUUGAGAGGCAUCUCUUGAAUAUCAAAGGUGAGCCAGUACAGGAUGGACCCGCGUCUGAUUAGCUAGUUGGUAAGGUAACGGCUUACCAAGGCGACGAUCAGUAGCCGACCUGCGAGGGUGAUCGGCCACAUUGGAACUGAGACACGGUCCAAACUCCUACGGGAGGCAGCAGUGGGGAAUAUUGCACAAUGGGCGAAAGCCUGAUGCAGCAACGCCGCGUGAGUUAUGAAGGCCUUCGGGUCGUAAAACUCUGUCCAAGGAAGAUAAUGACGGUACUUGAGGAGGAAGCCCCGGCUAA
rnacentral:rRNA from 1 species